GAGUAUCCAUUCUUCAGUUGAUUGAUAAAGAGAUUGGGGUGUUGAAGAACAGAGGAUUGAAUCAGCAGGAUGAUAUAUGUCUUUGGAAGAGAGAAAAUGGGGCUUUUAAAGAAGGUUUCUCCACGGCGUAAACUUGGAACAUUACUAGAGCUCAGUCACCGAGUGUCUCUUGGUUCAAAUGAGUAUGGUUUCCUGGUGCUACUCCAAAGUUUUCUUUCCUCAUAUGGAUUGCAAUACAUAAUAGACUAUCAACAGGAGACAGGAUUUUAAGAUGGAAUCCUCAGGCUGUAUUUACAUGCUGGUUGUGUAAAACGGCACCUGAAACGAGGGAUCAUUUGUUUUUUGAGUGUGUUUAUUCACAAGAAGUUUGGUUGAAGACUAUCAAGAACCUAGCAGUCGCAUAUGCAUUAUGGCAUGAACGAAACGUGAGAAGGGUGAGUGAACCUUCUUUGCCUGCCCGUUGUCUAGUUGCUCGAUUGGAUAAGUUGGUCAGGAACAGGAUCACGUCUUUGAGGA